rnacentral:rRNA from 1 species
UACGUAGGGUGCGAGCGUUGUCCGGAAUUAUUGGGCGUAAAGGGCUCGUAGGCGGUUUGUCGCGUCGGGAGUGAAAUCCACUGGCUUAACUGGUGGCUUGCUUUCGAUACGGGCAGACUGGAGGUAUGCAGGGGAGAACGGAAUUCCUGGUGUAGCGGUGAAUGCGCAGAUAUCAGGAGGAACACCGGUGGCGAAGGCGGGUCUCUGGGCCGAUACUGACGCUGAGGAGCGAAAGCGUGGGGAGCGAACAGG